AAUGAACGCUGGCGGCGUGGUUAAGACAUGCAAGUCGAACGGUUUUCAUUGAAGGGCAACCGGAUAUGAAAGCAGUGGCGAACGGGUGCGUAACACGUGAACAAUCUACCUUCAAGUGGGGAAUAGCUCGCCGAAAGGCGAAUUAAUACCGCAUGUGGGUCGGGGCUCGCAUGAGCCUUGAAACUAAAGUCAGGGAUCCCGCGCAAGCGGGACCUGACGCUCGAAGAGGAGUCCGCGGCCUAUCAGCUAGUUGGCGAGGUAACGGCUCACCAAGGCUAAGACGGGUAGCUGGUCUGAGAGGAUGAUCAGCCACA
rnacentral:rRNA from 1 species